rnacentral:lncRNA from 1 species
AGAUAUAAGUUUGGAAGUCACAGGCUUGGUGACAAGUUCCAGUCUUGGAAAUAAAUUAUAUACUAAGUGGAAUUAAUCUUCUGUGUAUUACUACUAGUUUAUGGUGCAUGGUUACUUAGGUUUAACAUUUAGUUGUGACCAAAUCCUCAUAUCAGUCUCCUAGUUUUAGACUGUGGAUUUCUUGGUUACACAUAUAUGAAUAGAUAGUUCGAAAAAUAUGGGGGAGGGAAGUAUAAUUGACAAUUAAAAACUGAAUCCAAC